UUGUACAUGAAACUAAAGAGCAUUCUUGACUUCCCCUACCUUUAUAGCAUUUUACCAUAAUCAAUAUAGAGAAGCUAUUUAAGAAUCAUGAAUUUUCUGAAUGGUAAAGUCAUUCCUAAUGCAGUUCACAAAAACAUUCUUUACCUUUGAUAUUAAGGAGGAAGUCAGAACAAAAAUCUUUAUCCAAACUAAGAUGCAGAAAUUGUCUAACAGUGGGCUUUUUAAUUAACAUAUAUGUCAAGUCUCAUGUUUGUAUUGAUUCAGUUGGUUUUGGUUAAAUUAAAAAACCUACUCUUCUCUCUCCUUCCCUCCGCCAUCGUGUUCUGUGCCAUCUCCCCUUCCCUGCUAUGUCUUCUCACAAGUCUUUCAGGAUCAAGCGAUUUCUAGCCAAGAAACAAAAACAGAACCGUCCCAUUCCCCAGUGGAUUCGGAUGAAAACUGGUAAUAAAAUCAGGUACAAUUCCAAGAGGAGACACUGGAGACGAACCAAGCUGGGUCUGUAAGGAUUCGCACGGAAACGGCGCAUGUAUUUAUGCUGUUGCUAUCAGCAG